UAGUUUCUGUCAUCUUAAGCCACAAGUUUGCAGUGUUUGAGCAGUUCCAGGAAACGAAUAUGGAUAGAUUCUCUCAUUAUUCUCAUUUUACAGAGAAGCCAAUGGAGGUUCCAAAGGAUGGUGUUAAUGCUAAGCUACAUGGUUAGUGCACUGGUGGAGCAACUGUUGAAGGAAAAGCCUCUGGCCACGUGGAUAUCUUUCACUGGUUCCUGUAAUGACACUAACACCAAUGACUACCAAGAUAACUGCACAGGUCUUCAAAGGAUGAACAAUCAUAGAUGAGGCAGAGAAGGACCCUAAAGAAGAACUGAAAUCAAGGAACAAGUGGAUAGUUUGUGCCAAAUGAAGCAGAAGAAAAAGAAUCAUAAGAUGACAAGAUAAGCAAGAUGAUCCAGCAAGGAGUCUCAUUACUCAGGAAGACUGGGUCCCAUCUUUUCCGGAAAAGGAAUAAGGGGGAAAUACACUUAUAUGCUUGUGAGGAAUAUAAGUAUAUUUAAAAUCACAGACAGAGGGUGGCAGAGACGAGAUAUAAACAGAAGACUUCUGACGGCAGGUUCAGUGAUGUUUCCAUUCCUCUCUUUAAGACUGAGAUGAAGCCACACUUCAGGAGAUGGAGAGAUCACUGUGGACUGGGAAGGACAGGCAACCUGCUGAUAGAUCUCUACACAAUGCAAGUCCGGUGCAAGGUGAAACUGCAAAUCUUGCAAAUGCUGCAGAAUUUCACGAGGUUCAUGAAAGGGAGGUUGAAGAACAACUAGAAGAGCACGCAAGCCACUGAGAAAUGAAGAUGUGGCAGUUAGACUGGAGGAGAGUGACAGAAAUGACGGCAUGAGAGCACUUCAGAAGACACUGAGUGGACUAGUAAACACUUGGAGAUGGCUCUGGGA